UACAGAUGAUGAGAUUCCAUUUCAUUGGUCCGUGUUUCUGAAAUACGUGAUUUGAUGGAACUUCUGACUGG